rnacentral:rRNA from 1 species
UACGUAGGGCGCAAGCGUUGUCCGGAAUUAUUGGGCGUAAAGAGCUCGUAGGCGGCUUGUCACGUCGGGUGUGAAAGCCCGGGGCUUAACCCCGGGUCUGCAUUCGAUACGGGCUAGCUAGAGUGUGGUAGGGGAGAUCGAAUUCCUGGUGUAGCGGUGAAAUGCGCAGAUAUCAGGAGGAACACCGGUGGCGAAGGCGGAUCUCUGGGCCAUUACUGACGCUGAAGCGCGAAAGCUAGGGGAGCGAACGGG